GAGAUCCUGAGAUGUUCGAUAACCUAUAAUUUUGAACCUACAGAUGGAAAACGGGAGUCCUAUAUUCUAUAACCUACGUCAGGCCGCAAUCUAAUUCCCUUUGGGCGGUGGAAGGCGAAAGUUAUUAUGCGGACACCCACCUAGCGCGAGCUAGGUGUCAAAAUAUAGGACCGGCACCUUGGGACUUUU
rnacentral:other from 1 species